GGCUGAAAUUACGCCUUCAUGAAGCUGGAAUUGCUAGUAAUGGCAGGUCAGCAUACUGCCGUGAAUACGUUCCCCGGGCCUUGUACACACCGCCCGUCACACCAUGAGAGUUGGAAAUACCCGAAGCCUGUGAGCUAACUUAAAGAGGCAGCAGUCGAAGGUAGAGCCAAUGAUUGGGGUGAAGUCGUAACAAGGUACC
rnacentral:rRNA from 1 species